CAGCAGCCGCGGGAAUACGUAGGGUGCAAGCGUUAAUCGGAAUUAUUGGGCGUAAAGGGUGCGUAGGCGGCUUGACAAGUCUUGUGUGAAAUCUAUGGGCUCAACCCAUAGUCUGCACGGGAAACUGUCGGGCUUGAGAAUGGGAGAGGUGAGUGGAAUUUCCGGUGUAGCGGUGAAAUGCGUAGAUAUCGGAAGGAACACCUGUGGCGAAAGCGGCUCACUGGACCAUUUCUGACGCUGAUGCACGAAAGCUAGGGGAGCAAACAGGAUUAGAUACCCGGGUAGUCCCUGUCUCUUAUAC
rnacentral:rRNA from 1 species